UAGAGAGAGGGUCACGGGUGGUACGAAGACAGUUGGAAAGAGAUAGGUCAAGGCACUGACACCAGUCUCAUGAGCAGAACAGGGCAACUGGUCAAGGAUGCUCGUUUUGGAAAGAAGUGAGGCCUGCAUCUGCCUGGCUUGGGGCAAGAAGAAAUGGAAGGGGCAACUCAAGGGGCCGCUGAGAAUUCCACAAUGGUGCAAACCCAUUGAAACCUUGUCUGGGAAGUGUGGGAAGCAAGCAGAGUAGAGGCAUCAUGGCCUGUGCACUCUUGGAAUGCCAGGACCACUUGCUCAGGGAUGGCACCUUCCACCGUGGGAUACUGGAACCCUCAAGCAUCAGUUAUUAAUAGAGAAAAUGUCCCAUAGACUUGCCUCCAGGCCAAUCUGAUGGAGGUAUUUUCUCAAUUGAGGUCCUCUCUUCCAAGAUAAGCUCAGCAACCUCUGAUCAGCACACAGGAGCAAGACAGAGGAGGCACCAAAGGCAAGUGGAGGGAAUAAGGUGGCUGAGUCAGUUCCAUUUCCCAGAAUGCACUUCCUUCUCCAUCCCCAUCUGCCUCUCUUUUCUCUUCAAAGCUGGGCGCUCCAUCACAAACAGACCCUACUUUUUAGUUUUCUUUGGCAUUUGCUUUUCUACUUGAGCCCAGAAUACUGAGAGGUGUCUGUCUUGUCAAAUCUAUACUGCCAUUGGUUGGUUUGGUUUUGUGUUUGUUUGAUUUGCAUCUACCUCAAGACACUCUAUAGGGGGCUGAGAAGUCAUUCUUGGUUCCCAUAGUGACAUCCCUAGUGGCUCCUGGGGCUUCAGAAGAUGUGAUAUUUAAUGGAAGGAGUCCCUCUAUAGGUCCCCCCACCCCCCACUCCUGAGACCCAUCUCUAACCUGCCCUGUAUCCAAGAUUUGACUAGUCCAGUGGUUAGCCAGCAGAGGGCACCCUGGCUUCAUCUGUAGUUUCUUGGGUCUCUUCUCUCCCUCUUGAUGACCCUAGUAGCAGCAUGCUCUCUGGACAUAACUGCAGCACCAGGCUGCUCUCGGUCAGGGUGGAAGGCAGGGUGGAAGUAGGCUCUUCUCUGCCCAGCCUGCUCUCUGUGGGAUGUAGAACAGAGAAGGUUCCAAAGAAGCAGAACAGCCUAGGCUGAGAACACAGAUCUAGUUUCGGCUUCACCCUCCCACCAGACCAGCUGUGUGAUCACAAACACCACACAUUUCUAGGCUGCUCACCCAUCAGCAUCCUGUGGGGCUCAUCCUUCCCUGCCUGGUGUAAGACACAUCAACUCUAAACCAUUCUGGCCUGAGAUGCUACUGUUUAAGACUAGUGAGGGUGCUGGACCUUGGCUUUGGGGGCUUCCAUCACUCUUAAAAGAUCAGAGUCAUGGGAACACAACCUCCUCUUGAUGUAGACGGAGGUCCUGAAGUGGGCGUUUUCCAGCCCCUUCCCAAGGCCACCUGUGCACAGUGACAGGGAUGACGCAGCCAGUCCAGGAGAUAUUGCUGCUUUCCAGAAAGACCCCUCAAGAGCACCCACAUAAGGAUGGCGGAGACAGGGUGGGGUGGGGUUUGUGCAGUGCCUGUUAACUAUCAAAAUGCAUCAGACAGCACACUCUGUUGGUUCUGGUGACAUGACAAUCCCCUAACAGUGGGAAAUUCCUGGAGAAGGGUUGCAUAUCAGACAGGGCCAGGGCCUGGUGAUCGUUUAGUGCUACAGGUGUUGGGAGGCAGGGUGUUUAGUUUUCACGACAUCAAACUCAUUUCAAAAAUGAGAGAUUGCCCAGAGGUUCAAAGCACUGACCAUUGUUUGAGAGCACCCCGGUUUGACCCCUAGCACCCCCACAGUGACCCACAAGCCUCGGUAACACCAGUUCUAGUGUGUUGGACAAUCCUCUUCAGGCAUCCAUGGGCACUGCACACAUAUGAUGAAUAGAUGUGCAUGGAUCUAACACAUGCACUAAAUAAGUCAGUCUAAAACACUAGUUUAUUGUCUUUAAAGUUACAUUUAUCGACUGGUUGAGUGUGUGGGGGCAUAUGCAUAUGUACAUGGCACACGGGUGUGGAGCUUAGAGUAAAGCUUUUCAAGAGUUGGUCUUUCUUUCCACAGUGUAGGUCCUGGGGCUCAAACUCAGGUUCUCAAGCCUCAGGGUAGGCUCCUUUCCUGGCUGAGCCAUCUUACCUGCCCCUAAAUCAAAAAUUUAAAAGUGACAAAUGUGUUCCCUUUGGUGUGUCUGCCUGUUUUCUUUUUUUUAAAAUUACAUUUGUGUGUGUGUGUGUGUGUGUGUGUGUGUGUGUGUGUGUGUAUUUGUGGCACGAGGGGGGUCUUGCUCAUAUCUAUGCCAUGGUACACAUAUACCAUGAAGUUAGUUGUCUUCAUCUACCAUAUAGGAUCUGAGACUUGAACUUAUGUUAUCAGGCUUGGUAGCAAGCAUCUUCACCCACGGAACCAUCUUGCCAGGCCAGUUUUUGGAAACAAAUGGAAAAUUAGAUUUGGAUGUAUCACCAAAUUAUCAGAAAAAAAAAAAGCAACUCAUGUUUCUGAAUGCAAUUUGGAUAAAUGCAGCUUCCUGAUUGUCACAGGCUUCCCGUGGACGUAAGGGUGAUGUGCUUGGUGGGUCUCAAUAGCGAAAGGAUUGAGGGAGUGGCCAUUGGGACAUAAAGGGCAAGGUACAGCUCCUGGGCUGGGAUUCUCAAUACCAAUUCCUGGAGUGGUAAGGUUGGUUGUUGCCUAAUCGGUAGCCUUCGAGGCCUAGGAUUAGAGCCUCCCACUAUGAAUCAGGAGCAGAGAGAGGCCUAGGGACCCCAGCAGCAGUUUGGCUAAAGCAAAAUAAGGCAACCUUGUGACCAACGGUUAUUUUCUUUGCGU